UACGAAGGGUGCAAGCGUUACUCGGAAUUACUGGGCGUAAAGCGUGCGUAGGUGGUUCGUUAAGUCUGAUGUGAAAGCCCUGGGCUCAACCUGGGAAUGGCAUUGGAUACUGGCGGGGCUAGAGUGCGGGUAGAGGGCAGUGGGAAAUUUCCCCGGGUGUAGCAGUGAAAAUGCGUAGAGAUCGGGAGGAACAUCUGUGGCGAAGGCGAUCACCUGGGGUUGUUCUGACGCUGAGGAGCGAAAAGCUAGGGGGAGCAAACGGGGAU
rnacentral:rRNA from 1 species